rnacentral:rRNA from 1 species
GUCCACGCCGUAAACUAUGAACGCUAGCCGUUGGCAGGCUUGCCUGUCAGUGGCGCAGCUAACGCAUUAAGCGUUACGCCUGGGGAGUACGGCCGCAAGGUUGAAACUCAAAGGAAUUGACGGGGCCCGCACAAGCGGUGGAGCAUGUGGUUUAAUUCGACGCAACGCGCAGAACCUUACCAGGGUUUGACAUCCUGUGCUCACCGGAGAAAUCCGGUUUCCCCGCAAGGGGCGCAGAGACAGGUGCUGCAUGGCUGUCGU